rnacentral:rRNA from 1 species
UAGGAUUCCCUUAGUACGGGCGACGGAAGAGGGAAAAGCCCACACUGGUAAUCUGCGACCGUUAGGUCGUCGAAUUGUAAUCUGAAGACAGUUAGUCCAAUUGGACCCGACGCCGAAGUCAGCACGAGCGCUGCGCCAAAGAGGGUGAGAGCCCCGUAAGGUGUUAGGUCCUACAAGGGCUGGUUGUCCAAGAGUCGUGUACCUUGAUACUGGUGCACCAAGCGGGAGAUAAACUUCUUCUAAGGCUAAAUAUAGGUAGGAAACCGAUAGCGAACAAGUACUGUGAAGGAAAGAUGAAAAGCACUUUGGAAAGAAAGUUAAAAGACUUGAAAUCGUUGAGGCGGACCCGGUAGAAAUGUAUUCUAGCGAAACGCUCUGGGAAGCCUGUACGCGGGCCACUUGAGCGUUAGCCGAGACAAGAUGGAGUCGUGGGAUGCCAGAGACCGUGUAAUCGGAAGUCUGACUUUCGGCUGUGCUGGUUGGGUGUCCCGCGGCUUGAGGGGCUUUGAGCGAUCUUGUCAAAAUGGUUUUUACCGACUCGUCUUGAAACACGAACCAAGGAGUCUAAGACUAACGCGAGUAUGGUGGUGGAGAAACCAACAUGCGAAAUGAAAGUAAAUGAUGCCAAGCACCCUGCAGCAUCGACCGACUUUUUUCUCUUGGAGAAGGUUUGAGUAAGAGCGUUAUUCUUAGGACCCGAAAGAUGGUGAAACUAU